GAGUUUGAUCCUGGCUCAGGAUGAACGCUAGCGGCAGGCUUAAUACAUGCAAGUCGAGGGGCAGCAUGAUUGUAGCAAUACAAUUGAUGGCGACCGGCAAACGGGUGCGGAACACGUACACAACCUUCCUGUAACUGGGGCAUAACCCGGAGAAAUUCGGAUUAAUACCCCAUAGCAUAAUGAUGUGGCAUCACAUUAUUAUUAAAGAUUCAUUGGUUACAGAUGGGUGUGCGUAUGAUUAGCUAGUUGGUGUAGGUAACGGCUCACCAAGGCGACGAUCAUUAACUGGUGUGAGAGCACGACCAGUCACACGGGCACUGAGACACGGGCCCGACUCCUACGGGAGGCAGCAGUAAGGAAUAUUGGUCAAUGGACGCAAGUCUGAACCAGCCAUGCCGCGUGGAGGAUGAAGGUCCUCUGGAUUGUAAACUUCUUUUAUCGGAGAAGAAACCCCCGAGUUCUCUUGGGGUUGACGGUACCCGAUGAAUAAGCACCGGCUAACUCCGUGCCAGCAGCCGCGGUAAUACGGAGGUGCAAGCGUUAUCCGGAUUCACUGGGUUAAAGGGAGCGUAAGUGGGCUGGUAAGAUCAGUGGUGAAAUCUCCGGCUUACUCGGAACUG
rnacentral:rRNA from 1 species